AAGUCGUAACAAGGUCUCCGUUGGUGAACCAGCGGAGGGAUCAUUAUCGAGUUUAUUCAACUCCCAAACCCUAUGUGAACUUACCACUUGUUGCUUCGGCGGCGCUCUGGCGUCGCCGGGGGUAUCAAACUCUUGUUUUUACAGCAUUCUCUGAGUGGCCGCAAGGCAAAAAACAAAUGAAUCAAAACUUUCAACAACGGAUCUCUUGGUUCUG
rnacentral:misc_RNA from 1 species